rnacentral:rRNA from 1 species
GUGAGGAAUAUUGGUCAAUGGGCGGGAGCCUGAACCAGCCAAGUCGCGUGAAGGAAGAAGGAUCUAUGGUUCGUAAACUUCUUUUGCAGGGGAAUAAAGUGCAGGACGUGUCCUGUUUUGUAUGUACCCUGAGAAUAAGGAUCGGCUAACUCCGUGCCAGCAGCCGCGGUAAUACGGAGGAUCCGAGCGUUAUCCGGAUUUAUUGGGUUUAAAGGGUGCGUAGGUGGUUUGAUAAGUCAGCGGUGACAGUUUGCAGCUUAACUGUAAAAAUGCCGUUGAAACUGUCGGACUUGAGUGUAAAUGAGGUAGGCGGAAUGCGUGGUGUAGCGGUGAAAUGCAUAGAUAUCACGCAGAACUCCGAUUGCGAAGGCAGCUUACUAAGCUACAACUGACACUGAAGCACGAAAGCGUGGGGAUCAAACAGGAUUAGAUACCCGGGUAGUCC